UGCCAGCCGCCGCGGUAAUACGGAGGGUGCAAGCGUUGUUCGGAAUCACUGGGCGUAAAACGUGCGUAGGCCACCUAAUAAGUCGGAUGUGAAAUCCCGGGGCUUAACUCCGGAACUGCAUUCGAUACUGCUUAGCUAGAGUAUGAGAGAGGGUAGUGGAAUUCCGGGUGUAGCGGUGAAAUGCGUAGAUAUCAGGAGGAAUACCAGUGGCGAAGGCGGCCAUCUGGCUCGGUACUGACGCUGAGGUGCGAAAGUGUGGGGAGCAAACAGGAUUAGAUA
rnacentral:rRNA from 1 species